UAAACUACGAUUAGAUACCCUAUUAUUUUAAAUGUAAAGAGUUACUUGCUAGAGUAGUAGUAGAUAUGAUCUUGAAACUCAAAGAAUUUGGCGGUGCUUUAGUCCUUUCAGAGGAACCUGCCCCAUAAUCGAUAGUCCACGUUAUAUCUUACUUGAUCUUGUAGCCAGCUUGUAUACCGCCGUCGUCAGAAUGUCCUUGUAGGGAAUUAAUUUUCUUGAUUUUUAAAUAGAAUGGAUGUCAGGUCAAGGUGCAGUUAAUGGUCAAGAGGAGGUGGGUUACAAUAAAUUAAUUUAGAUGGAAAAUAAUUUUUAAUAGUUAUUUGAAGGUGGAUUUGAUUGUAAUUUUGUAAAUAAAAGCAAUUUGAUUUUGGCUCUAAAGCAUGCACACAUCGCCCGUCGCUCUUA
rnacentral:rRNA from 1 species